CCAAAACUUUGCAGAGUUUUUGAAGCACAGACAGAUGCUGUGCUGUGGGGAAAAGUUCUUGCAAAGCUACUGCUUUCAUGUCCAUUUAGUGCUGGGUUUUUUUAAACACCAAUAUUGCCCAUUGAAUUCGUUCCUUAAAAGGUGAAUCCAGAAUAAAUGCAUUCAUCCUACCCAGCCCUCUUCAUUUUGGUGUCUCAGUGUUUUGUAGUAGUAUACCAACACCUACCUGUAAAUAAAUUGACUGUAUGUAGUGAAAAUACUCUGUACUUUACUCUUUGUCCAGGUAAGUGUGCAAGGUUAUCACUGGCUUAAUUUGCCUCUGGGAAUUUGGUAGAGUGUUUCUGGGUUGUAUGAGCACAGAUAAGAGAAGAAUUCAGUGGCAGCUUCUGGUGAUUUAUAUAGGAUAUCUCUAUUAGCCCUGAUUCUGCUAAACAGAUAUAUAUUGGAUUUUGACAUAUGCCAGUGGGCAGAGGAGGAGAUGCAAGGACUGUGGAGAUGGUAGGUGCCUCCAGUUCUGGGCAUGCUCUUACAGUUUUUGGUAGAAUGAUGUCUUUAUUAUUUGUGGGUGGAAUCUCAAAAGUUUAAUGUCUCCAGAAAUUAAGUUUAAGAUGUGUUUCAACCUGUCUGUAGCAGUUUAUCCUCUCAGAGCCUGCAGGACAGGAUACAUGUGUACCAUCCUUCCAGCUGCAGUCUAAACCUUGCUUAUGAACAAGUGUAUGAAAAAACUCAGUUUAAAUUAAAGGGCUUAUUCAGUUAUUUUAUCUUUGCACAUAAGUAAGAGAUAGCAGGAUUUUAAGAAGGAGUGAUGUUAAUCACUAUAGCAAUCCUUUCUAAGGAAAAAACCCCACUUUUUCAUCCAUUAAAAUACCGCAGCCUUCCUGAUUAAGUGUAUUCACAGAUAUACAAAAUCACAGGGUAAGGGCCUGCUUGGGAACAAAUUCCCACUAUAUUGCCAUGCCAACACGUGUUCAUGCUGUUCCAUUUCACCAACAGACAAUAACAGGCAUAGAUGCCUAGACCCAUGAAAGGAGGUGGCUUCAGUUCUGCUGUGCAGAGUUGUUACAAGCAGUACAACAACUCUGACUUCAACAAGGAAUUUUUCCAGUCCCUGUUCAAACAGCUUCUGCCUGAGCAUCUCUGAACAGCCAACUGGAGCAACUGGAAAGCGAGGCAGAACAUCGCAGAAGCAAAGCUGGCGGUAAUUGUGCCUCUGAUAUUACCUAGAUAUCUCAGCCUUGCUUGUGACCUGAGAGUAGAUUUUAGCUCUUCAGGUAAUUGUCUUGUCCUGCAGAUGACAGAUUUAUAGGAAUAUUGCAUAUUGUCAAUAAAAAGAAACAGCUGACCGAUCAGUGGGGUUUUUACUCCUCCUCCCCUUUUCCUCGGAGAAAACCAAGAGCCAACCAUUUCUGGACAGCUCCCCCUCUCCUUGUGAAGUGCAGGGAAUUCAAGCAACUCAUCUAAUCCUGUGGUGCAGAGGCUUUGUUGCAGCAGGGAGGAAUUAUAGUCAACAUAUCCUCAACAGAAGAGUUUUCCUGGGAAGAGGACCUAAGGCUACCUAAGGGCCAACUCAGGAUCAUUGAAUUGUGGGUCACUGGAGUAGUGGCAUGAGUAAGAUUGCCUUGAGAGGUCCUGUCCAGCAAUGACUCUUCAGUAUCUUCAGUUUUCUCAGCCUUAGUACUGUAGCAAAUACAUGCUUUAGGAAGAGAAUAUGAUGGUGUCUCUAACACUUCUAGUUGAAGUGCAGGACCUCAUGGGCCCAGAUGUGCAACAGGAUGACCACUGCUUCAGCUCAUCAGUCACCUUCUGCACCCAAUAUCUGUUCAUUCUACUGUCACCUCCCACGCCCAAUCUGUUUUACAGUCCAUUCAUUUCAAAGUAUAGGACUGGAGUAACUUCAACAAGGGAUAGGGAAAGGGUUUAAAAGGACCUGAAAAGUUUGCAAAUUUACAAACCAAUGCAUUCAAAUGAUCAUCAUAUUUGAAAAGUCAUGGCAGUCCAGUGAAAUUGUCACUGACUGGAAAAGGGAACACAUAAAAGGGUAAAAAGGAAGACCUGAGAAACUGCAGGACAGUCAGUCUCACCCCAGUGCCUGGUAAGAUCGUGGGAGAGAUCCUGCUGGAAAUAGUGCUUAGU